AUUUUUUCCUCAUGGUAGUCACUUGCGUUCUAUUGCUCACGAAGACAAGAAAGAAUACUCCGGUUGGAACUUUAUUGAAGCUAUAUGUUAAAAACAUCCUAAUGAUUGUUUCUGUACUUAGUUUGAAAUGUUUCUUCGACCGGUAAUAUCACUUUGUGAAGUUUUUGUCCGAUAUAACGCUGACCAGAAUUAGCGUUUGGAUAUGUAUACCAAACGCUCUAACAAAAGAAGGUAUUUGGACAUAAAUAACGGACAUUUUCAAACAAAAACAUUUAUUGUGGACCAGGGAUUCCUGGAGUGCUUUCUGAUGUAGAUCAUCAAAGUCCAGUGCCUGCUGCUCAAAGGGAGAUUCCCUUCUUGGAGGACAUGACUCUCUUCAUCCAGCCAUUACAGAACCUUCUACAUUAUGUGCUCUGUGGAGUGGUAUUCAGCCAGACAUACAGUUCACCUCAGGGCUCUCAAUCGAAGGCAGGGAUCGAUUUUGUUAGUCACUCUCACAAAGCUAUCAUAUUAACAUGGCAUCGGUCAGGGUAAAAUGUGUAGAAUUACAGGAAAUUUGCUUAAAAACGGCAAACAUUUCUCUCCAUCCUAUGCUAAAAAAGGUGUAGAAUUGCAGGAAAUUGGCUGUUAAACUGCCACUCUACGAUUAAGGCCUGAUUGGUGGAGUGCUGCUGAGAUUGGAGAACCUUCCAGUAGGACAACCAUCUCCACAGAGGAGCUCUGUUAGUGACCAUCGGGUUCUUGGUCACCUCCUUGGCCAAGGCCCUUCUCCCCAAUUGCUCAGUUUGGCCAGGCGGCCAUCUCUAGGAAGAGUCUUGGUGGUUCCAAACUUCUUCCAUUUAAGAAGGAUCAGAGACCACUGUGUUCUUGGGGGACCUUCAAUGCUGCAGACAUUUUUUGGUACCCUUCCACAGGUCUGUGCCUCGACACAAUCCUGUCUCUGAGCUCUAUGGACAAUUCCUUUGACCUCAUGGCUUGGUUUUUACCCUGACAAGCACUGUCAACUGUGGGACCUUACAUAGACCGGUGUGCACCUUUCCAAAUCCUGUCCAAUCAAUUGAAUUUACCACAGGUGGACUCCAACCAAGUUUUAGAAAGAUUUCAGGGAUGAUCAAUGGAAACAGAAUGUACCCGAGCUUAAUUCCAAGUCUCAUAGCAAAGGGUCUGAAUACUGAAAUGUUAUUUCUAGUAUUUUAUUUGUGAUAAAUGUUCAACAAUUUCAACAACAUCUUUUCACUUUGUAGAUUGAGGGAAAACAUGUAUUUAAUCAUUUUUAGAAUAAUGCUGUAACGUAACAAAAUGUGGAAAAAGUCAAGGGGUCUGAAUACUUUCCCAAUGCAUUGUACAUCAUAUAACAUUAUUACACCACUACAUAUCUAGAAUACAAAAUGAUUCUACCGUUUGCAUGAAUUACCUGAUGUGGAAUAGAGUUCCAUGUAGUGAUGGCUCUAUGUCGUACUGUGCUCCUUCCAUAGUCUGUUCUCUGCUUGGGGAUUUUAAAGAGACCUCUGGUGUCAUGUCUUGUGGGGCAUGCAUGGGUGUCCGAGCUGUGUGCCAGUAGUUUAAACAGACAGCUCGGUGCAUUCAGCACGACAACACAAGUAGUGAAGUCAAUCUCUCCUCCACUUGGAGUCAUGAAAGAUUGUCAUGCAUUUUAUUAAUGUUAGCGGUCUGUGUACAUUUAAGGGCCAACCGUGCUGCCCUGUUCUGAGGCAAUUGUAAAGUCCUUCUUUGUGGCAUUUGACCACACGACUGAACAGUAGUCCAGGUGCGACAAAACUAGGGCCUGUAGGACCUGCCUUGUUGAUAGUGUUAAGAAUGCAGAACAGCGCUUUAUUAUGGACAGACUUCUACCCAUCUUAGCUAAUGUUGUAUCAACAUGUUUUUACCAUGAGUUUUACAAUCCAGGGUUACUCCAAGCAGUUUGGUAACCUCAACUUGCUCAAUUUCCACAUUAUUCAUUACAAGAUUUAGUUGAAGUUUAAGGUUCAGUGAAUAAUUUGUCCCAAAUACAAUGCUUUUAGUUUUUGAAAUAUUUAGGGCUAACUUAUUCCUUGCCACCAAUUCUGAAACUAACUGCAGAUCUUUGUUAAGUGUUGUAGUGCUUUCACUCGCUGUAGUUGCUGAAUCGUAUAGUGUUGAGUCCUCUACAUACAUAGACACACUGGCUUUACUCAAAUAUUGUGUUAGUAAAGUUUUAAAAAAGGAAGGGGCCUAGACAGCUGCCAUGGGGAAUUUCUGAUUCUACCUGGAUUACAGUAUGUUGGAGAAGCUUCCAUUACAGAGCACCCUCUAUGGUCUUUUAGACAGGUAAGUCUUUAUCCACAAUAUAGCAGUGGGUGUAAAGACAAAUGUAAUUUGUUUAUUGUAAAUAAUAGUGGCAAUAUCGUCCUCUAUAAUCAGCAUUUCUCCAUCCAAGUUGUCAGACCCCGGUGGGUUGAUAUUGUUGAUAGACAACAAUAAUUAUUUCACCUCUUCCACACUCACUUUACGGAAAUCAAAAUGACAAUACAUGUCUUUCAUAACUUGGUGAGUUAUACUUGGAUGUGUAGUGUAGACAUUUGUUGCUGGCAUAACAUGCCUACGUGUGCUAAUCUUGUCAAUUAAAAAAGCAUUUAAAUAGUUGGCAAUAUCAGUGGGUUUUGUGAUGAAUGAGCCAUCUGAUUCAAUGAAUUAUGGAGUUUGCCUUUUUGCCC
ensembl:lncRNA